ACGGGUGAGUAACACGUGGGAACGUGCCCUUUGGUUCGGAACAACUCAGGGAAACUUGAGCUAAUACCGUAAUGUGCCCUUCGGGGGAAAGAUUUAUCGCCAUUGGAGCGGCCCGCGUCUGAUUAGCUAGUUGGUGAGGUAAAGGCUCACCAAGGCGACGAUCAGUAGCUGGUCUGAGAGGAUGAUCAGCCACAUUGGGACUGAGACACGGCCCAAACUCCUACGGGAGGCAGCAGUGGGGAAUCUUGCGCAAUGGGCGAAAGCCUGACGCAGCCAUGCCGCGUGAAUGAUGAAGGUCUUAGGAUUGUAAAAUUCUUUCACCGGGGACGAUAAUGACGGUACCCGGAGAAGAAGCCCCGGCUAACUUCGUGCCAGCAGCCGCGGUAAUACGAAGGGGGCUAGCGUUGCUCGGAAUUACUGGGCGUAAAGGGAGCGUAGGCGGACUGUUAAGUUAGAGGUGAAAGCCCAGGGCUCAACCUUGGAAUUGCCUUUGAUACUGGCAGUCUUGAGUACGGAAGAGGUAUGUGGAACUCCGAGUGUAGAGGUGAAAUUCGUAGA
rnacentral:rRNA from 1 species